rnacentral:rRNA from 1 species
AGGCUGGGUGUGGAAGUGCAGUAAUGCAUUAAGCUAACCAGUACUAAUUGCCCGUACGGCUUGUCCCUAUAACCUUAGCAGGU